GGGCGAUUGGCUCAGUGGUAGAGCGCUCGCUUCACACGCGAGAGGUCACUGGUUCGAACCCAGUAUCGCCCACUA
rnacentral:tRNA from 1 species